ACUUGCCAUCGAACGGAGUCGGAGUGUGCUGUUUCUAUACGGAGGAGAGAGCGUGCGCGCGGGUGUGAGUCACACGACAGGGACAGCCCGGAUAUCUAUAUAUACAUAUAUUCGUGUACAAAAAACAACAUACAUACAGUCACGCGCGCUGGAGUUUCACAGUGAAAAUGGCGUAGCCAUUCCGAGAUUGAGAAUGUUGCAAUAAAAACACGAUAGUUAUUGGCGUUUUAAUGAUAAUGAAACGUAAUAACGCUUCGAUAUCGUGUGUGACAAGUGCCGGUUUACCUUAACGUCCAAAACAUUGCGGGUUCGUCGAUAAGAUUUAUAAGCUCGGAGUGGGGGCACCGAUUGUCAAAUAUUGUUCGGGCGAUUAUUGCACAAAGUCAUUGCGAGUUAAGUGCGUGUUCUCGAUGCUUGAUAUUUGCAUAUACGUUUAUACUAUCGGGUAUGAAGUGUAGUGGUUCACGAGCCUCGGAGCCUCGGGAGAAUUCUAUUUGUUAAAUUUGAGAGUGGCUGGUUGCAGGCACUGAUCUACAUUGAAAAUAAAGCAGCGAGAUGAUUGCGUCAAAAAUCCAUUCAUUCGCUCGGUUAUUAUUACGUACUCUGACUGUUGAAAGUCGUGGUAAUCGUUGAAAACGAGUGGGGUGACUCAACGAGUGUUUACCGUGUUGUGCCAGUGUAAAUAUUGGUGUCGCAUGAAGGAAAUACGAUAAAAAAAUAAAAAUAAGGGAAAAUACGUGAGGGAAAGAGAUUAAGAAAAGCGAGACGAUGCUCCGUUCGUUGAAGCGUCGAAAAAUCAUCCUCGUGACAGCUUAAGCACGAUCAACAAACGGUCGCAAGAUGGCGCCACUGGAGUUUUGACACAAACUUCCCCCUUCCUCCCCCCUCUCCUGCCCCACCGUCGUUCCUCUCGGCCACGCUAUCAGCUGGAAUAUUUCACGGGCGUUAUCGCCUCAAUUCAAUAACGUUGCUCGGUGCAAUUUUUUUCCUUUCUUUUUUACGCUUUUAUUUUCCCUUCAUUAUAUUUUACUUCUUGUUUAUCUUCUCUCUUCGACGCAUACUUCGUAUUAUGAGCAGAGAAUUCUACGUGCCCUGCGCCCAAUACGCAUAUCCGCAGUGCGGGAGUGGCUCAACGGAUGGUGUGGUCGUAUCGAACGAGGUAGUUGGCAUGGACUGCAUGCCGCUGAGGCCAGGACCGUUUCACUAUCUGAUAAGCGAGCAGGCCAAAUCGUUGGUCGCCCUCCAGGAGCUGCAGAAUGAGGUCGGUGCUCUGCUCGAAUUUCGGGAUCUCGUUAUCGAGACAUUCCCGAACCUCAGGCACAAGAUGGCGACGUCGUCGUCGUCGUCGUCGUCAGCGGUUGUGUCGGUGAUGUCACAGUCGCAGGGUUCGUCGCACAUACCGCUGCCGCUCUCGAGUCCGUCGUCGCGUCGUAUCAGCGAGUGGGAGCCCGGUAAGGUGAGGCGACGAGUUGCACAGCCGGUGAGGGAGGGCGAAUCUUCGGGUUCGUCGUUGCCCCGAAGUCGCAGCAACUCCCACAGCGGCGGUAGCAAAAACAGCGCGACGGUACAAGAUUCGGGCUUCAGUACGGAAACGUCAUCGAAGGACAGCGCGUCGACGGCGAUCGCGAGGCCGACGAGCCCGCGACCGGUGCUGGACGAGGCUGAGGAUGAGCUGUGGAAUUUGUUGGACGUUAUUCACAGAAAAGGCAUUAGAUUGAGAGAAGAAGUUGAGUCGUUGCAGGGUAGAUUGGAGAGCGUUGGUCCUGACGAGCUUCGCAUCUCGGGCGACGUACUCGAGGCUGUGAGGAACGUGACGAGGACCGAGGAGGACCUCGGGAGGGAGGAUUCGGCCGAGGAGGGCAGUAACGACCUGGUGAAUGCUCGUCUCACUGACAAGGCGAAAAGACUCGGCGAUGGUGCAGACUCGAGUCGAGAAGACGGAUCAAAGCUGACCGUUUUGCGAAGAGAGAAGGAACAAUUGCUCGAUAAAGUCGCUGAGCUCGAAGCCGAGACUUUGUCGAGUCGUGCUCGAGCCCAAGAGCUACAAACCGAGCUGGCAGCUCUGUCUGCCCUCAGAAACGGCCUCGAAGAUCGAUUGCGCUCUGUCCUCGAGACCAGAAACGAAAUAGUUACACCCGGAGCCCAAAGAAAACAAACCUCUGCCGGACAAAAUUCUCCUGGCAAUAUUUCCUCACCGAAACAUUGCGGCGUACACCUACGCGGCAACAAACAAUCCGCCUUCACCACCAUCCUCACCCCCUCCAACAAACCCCAUAAAAAUCGCUUUCGCACGAGAACCAUAGACAAAAGUGUUUUGGCCAACGGAGCUGUGCUUCAACCCGUCGAGGUUGACGCCGAUCCUGAAGCCGCCGCUCAUGAGAGAAGAAUAAGACUUGGCGCCCUUGACUCCGUACUCGUGUCACCCACUCGCGUCGCUCACGUUGCCGACGUCGACGGCGUCAAAAUCGCUGCGAUACUUCGCGAACGCUCACCGCUAGAACUUCAACGACACCUCAUUACCACUACCGUCCAUAAUCAGUGCCUCCAAAAAAGACUGGACGAAGUGGAAAAAAGUACGGGGACGCUUUCCGAGCGUCUGGACAAAGCCAGGGAGGAGAACGAUGACCUUAGAUUUCAGUUGGAGGAGAGGAACAUCGAGCUCGAAGGUACGAAGGCGAGGGUUCGAGUGCUGGAGAGGUUACAACAAAGGCCGCCAACGGAGACGGAGCCUGAUCUUGAAUCGGAAACGGAGCCGAGAGGAGGGGAGCUUUGUUGUCCGGAAGCUGGGAGCAGUACGGAAUCAGCCCGAGACCAUCACCAUUCGGCGGAAGUGAAGCCAUCGCCUCGGAGACGUCCACCGAGUCGAAUACCGUUGUUGGGUUCGGGGACGAAGCCGGCGGCGCCGAAGCCGCCGUCAUCGACGAGCAGGAACGACAGUCGUGAAUCGUUGAAGUCGUUGAAGUCGUUGAACUCGAGACCGCCAAGGGACUCGAGUCGGGAGAGCAACGCGGGAACAACGAAAUCGUCGUUAUCUCGAGGCACAGCGAGAGAUUCGAGUCGCGAGUCUCUCAACAGGCAGAGCAUAACGACGAGCAAAACGUCGGGAAAAGAGGCGAGCAGAGAGUCUCUCAAUCGUUCUUUGUCUCGUAACAACAAUACCAAUCGUGAUUCAAUUAACAAAAUAACAACAACAACAACAACAACAAGCCCAACGAUAACAACAGCAACAGCACCAACGACAACAUCGUCGACAACGUCCUUGUCACGCGCUCGUGAUUCUCUCGAAUCAAACAAUACCUGUAACAAUAACAAUAUUUCGUUAUAUCCACCGGGUACACCGCCGAGAAGGCCGCCCGCACCUGCGAGACGUUCGCAGAGCUUAGCACGUCCUAGCGUCGAUAACGAUAGCGGCAAGGUACGAUCAUCGAAGCUGUCCUUUUGGAUGAGCAAUUGGAUGAAGUAGCCGUUGUUCAAAUGGUAUCGUGCCGAUAGUCUCGAUACCCGACUUGCUCGACGAUGCGAUUAGCCGAUUUUCUUUUCUCCCUUUCGCUCCCCCUCCGCCCCUUUAGAUUCGAGCCCUUAUUUUUUCCUCCGGUACAUUUCAACACCAAUAUGGUCUCGUAGUUUUUGUUUUUUCGCUCCGGACAAAGCCAUCCGUUCGACGGGUUUUUAUAGCUCAUUGACGACGGAACGUAGCCAAAUGGUUACUUUUUUCUACGACUCGCACACAGUAAUGUUCAAACGUUACUGCUGGCAUUUCUACUUCUUUUUUUAGUCAAAAUAAUCUCUAACUCACGUUUUUCUGCUCUUAACUUUCGGUAAGACGGAUUAUGACGAAUCGUGGCUGUACGUAUUACAAUUAGAUGAAUUUCCAACUAUUUAUUUUAUCGUUUUACCUGGAUUUCACAAAUAUUAUGCUUCAAUAUUGCUAUUUCGAAAAAUAUUUUUUGUUUUCAUCUGAUUUAUGAUCUUUCGUUAGAACAUUGUGAGAAUUAUGACUCUGUGAUGUCAAAGAGCUUUAUAAAAAAGACAUUUUUUCGAAAAUUUCAUUAUCACUGCUGAAAUCGUUUAUUUUAGUUGACUGUAAAUUUAUUUUCAACUAAAAUUACUACGAAUCGAAACUUGCUCGUCUAGUUCGCCAGAUGUCGUAUUAAUCUGUUUCGCCAGUACGGAAACUACACGAGUAUCGGGUCUCGCAUUACAUGCUCUGUCUCUUUUUCACCCUCUAUCUCAUUCUCCCUACCGACAUUAUACUAGUCCAAAAGUUUUUUACAUUACUACUAUGAUAGUAUUAAUCGUUCUAUAGUUUCGUUCGAACGUCAUCGACUGUAGCAAAGUAAUACGCGUCUAUACUUUGACAGCUCCACUUUCAUGAACAAAAAGAUGAAAAAAAAAGAAAAAUAGAACACGCACGCGAGCACACACAUACACACACAUACAGAAAACGAAAUGUCAAUGAAUUUUUUUCUAUCGCAUUGGCGCAGAUUCCGUCCUUAUCUGACUAAUAUUACGAUUUAUAAUUCGCACUUUUUCUACUCAUUCCGGCCGCUUCGUUCAUGGUUAUUUUUUGGACUUUAGUUCUCUCGUAAUUUGACCGAAAUGGCGAGUUUCUCGUUCUCCUCUAAUCGUUCGACUCGGUAAAUUUUCGACUCGUCUUUCCAUCAAUCGAUCCAUCAACCAAUACUACUAUGACUUUUAUCUACUUCUACCACUACUUCUACUACUACUCCUACCGCAAAAGUCUGAUCCGGAGUGAGUGCGAGGCUCGUUCCCCUCUGGCCGUCCAAUACGAAAAUGGCCCCUCCUCGCGUCCGCCGGUUUCUCGGCUUCACGACCGAUCCACCAAGUUCGUGGUGUUCGUCGAGCAGCAGUUUUCGACACAGCGAGUCUUCGUUAUAUCCGGACUCGUUGAAUCAGGAAUCGACAUCAGCGACAGGAUCAACGCGUGUCGAAUUUAUUCUG
rnacentral:misc_RNA from 1 species